GAUGAACGCUGGCGGCGUGCCUAAUACAUGCAAGUCGAGCGAACGGACGAGAAGCUUGCUUCUCUGAUGUUAGCGGCGGACGGGUGAGUAACACGUGAUAACCUACCUAUAAGACUGGGAUAACUUCGGGAAACCGGAGCUAAUACCGGAUAAUAUUUUGAACCGCAUGGUUCAAAAGUGAAAGACGGUCUUGCUGUCACUUAUAGAUGGAUCCGCGCUGCAUUAGCUAGUUGGUAAGGUAACGGCUUACCAAGGCAACGAUGCAUAGCCGACCUGAGAGGGUGAUCGGCCACACUGGAACUGAGACACGGUCCAGACUCCUACGGGAGGCAGCAGUAGGGAAUAUUCCGCAAUGGGCGAAAGCCUGACGGAGCAACGCCGCGUGAGUGAAGAAGGUCUUCGGAUCGUAAAACCCUGUUAUUAGGGAAGAAAAUUAGUGUAAGUAACUGUGCACAUCUUGACGGUACCUAAUCAGUAAGCCAGGGCUAACUACGUG
rnacentral:rRNA from 1 species